CUGAAUACAUGUGCGUGGAACCUGGCACCCAUGCAUCUCUGUCGUCUUUAAUGGGAGUCCACACCGCUUUAAGAAUGGAUCAGAUAUCAACAUCAGCUGCAGACUGUCAAUUGUAACACUUCCAGGUGGUUACCACAUCAAGCAUCCCAAGCAGCAUAUUGCUGGAAGUGCCACAUAACAGGUUAACUCUUGAAAGCAGAAGAAAAGUAGUGGGCUCAAAGGAUAUCUUGUUUUUUCCAAGCCAAGUGCUGUUUUCUUGAACCUCUUGUAAAUGGAAGACCUCUGCUAAAGGAUUCUGAACUCUGCAGGGCAGAGGCUGCCUCUCGCUGUCUGUACAAUGCCUAGCACAAUAGAGCCCAAAUCUUAAUUGGGGACUCCAGAUGAUACUGUAACAAUUUAAUAAUGACAACUUAUUGGAGCUCUGGAACUUCUGAUUGGAGCCUGAUACUGGAGACCACAGAACACAUUCUGCUGUGUGGUACAUUGAGGAAGAUGCAAGAGAAACAGGUUCUCCCUUCCUUCUGGAGGAAGGCUACUGUGAUACAUUGGCGUGCUGCUUUUACAUUCUGGACUGAGCUCAGUUGCUGGCAUUCCGGUCACCUGAUUGUGUGAAUGGUUUUUACAGUUGCAAGAAAUUAAUUAUUUUUUAAAAAUAAUUUUGCUUCUAACAUGCUGAUGUUGGGGGCUCUGAGCACAUAAUGCACAUGGCAGAGGAGAUACGGAUUGACUUUCCUGAAACUCAGUGCAGAUACUCUUCAACCUGUUCUCCAUUUCAUGGUAUUAGUUGUUAAGAACAGGGAGGAACAAAUGCAGGCAGCUGGUUUUCCAGAUAACGCACUUAGCCUUAUAGGACCCAUUGAACAAUGACAGCACAUAAUGCUGGUUGGUUGUUGGGGAUUAUAUUUUUCUGAGCAAUUUUAUUUAUGACACGAUUUUGAUUUUUUUUAAGAUGAUAGCCUUACAGGGGGGAAAGGGAAAUGCAAAUAAAUAGUGUCAAUUAUUGACAUCCCAUUCCCAUUGCUUAAAGUAUUAUUAUCAAAAUCUUGACAUAAGAGGCCAAGCUUUGGCUGGUCUCUAUGCAGGGACUCAAGGUGGGAACCCCACCUGCACACUCUCUCUGUGCAUGGGCCAGCCACAAUUGAUGUCCUUGUGCUCUGAUAACCACAGGGGCUGCUCCCCGCUGUGCCCCUUGAGAUACUUGUCACGCCAAACAUGGCAGGGAAGAGGUGGACCUUGGAAAGUACAAUCUGCAAUCCCCACCACAACGAGCCUGCCCUACCACUUCCGCAUCCCAUUUAGGGUGACUGAUAUCCCAUGGAGCACUAGCCAGGAGCAGUCCAUGUGCUCAGGGAAGCAUGGAGACUGCAAUUGUGGUCGGUUCCCUAUAGGCUUAGGGAUGGAAGGAUGGGGGUGGAAUAGUCUUGUACCCUUCUUUAGUACCCAAACAAGGCUAGCUCCCAUCUGGCCCUAGAUAUAAAAUGCUUUUUAUCUUCAAAGUGCUUUGCAAAAAUGAAGUUGUGACCGUGCACCCCAUAAAGCUUUAUGGAAAUAUGCUUAUG